rnacentral:rRNA from 1 species
UUCAUGGAGAGUUUGAUCCUGGCUCAGGACGAACGCUGGCGGCGUGCCUAAUACAUGCAAGUCGAGCGCAGGAAACUGACGGAACUCUUCGGAGGGAAGGCAG